rnacentral:rRNA from 1 species
UUUUACUUUGAGGAAAUUUGAGUGUUCAAAGCAGGCAACAUUAGUUUUGCCAAUUUUUGAAAAUCACAGCAUGGUAUAAUAAAAUAUGUUCUGGAAUUCUAGAUCUAAUAACACACUUUUUGGUUUUGACUAGUUUUCUGAAAAUGAUAAAUAGAGAUAGUUGGGGGUAUUCAUAUUCGAUUGUCAGAGGUGAAAUUCUUGGAUUUUUCGAAGAUGAACUAAUGCGAAAGCAUUUAUCAAGGAUGUUUUCAUUGAUCAAGAACGAAAGUUAAGGGAUCGAAGACGAUCAGAUACCGUUGUAGUCUUAACUAUAAACGAUGCCGACCAAAGAUCAGCAGUUAUAAAAUAAUAAAAUGGAGCUAAAUCACUUUCGAAUAGCAAUAUUCGUUUAAAAGUGUAAUGCCCCUGCUGGAAUUUUUUGAGAAAUCAUUGAGUCUUCUGGUUCUGGGGGGAGUAUGGUCGCAAGACUGAAACUUAAAGAAAUUGACGGAAGGUUACACAAGAAGUGGAGCCUGCGGCUUAAUUCGACCCAACACGCGAAAUCUCACUAGGUUAGGACUAGCGAAGGAUUGACAGAUUGAAAGCUCUUUCUUGAUUGUUAGGGUGGUGGUGCAUGGUCGUUGGUGGUUGGUGGUAUGAACUGUCUGGUUAAUUCCGAUAACGAACGAGACCUCAACCUAUUAAAUAGCCAAACGAAAGGGAUUUAAUUGGUACAAUUUGAGGGUAAAGCCUCGGGAAUUAAGAUUAGAAGCGGUUAUUUUAGGUUUAGUAAUAAAUCUAGGGUAACUUUCUAGUUUUAAUUUCACUGUAUCGCUCUUUCGAUUUGGGUUCAUAUGAGUUUUGGCGUUAAAAACCAAGGUUUGUGUGAAUCAUUUCUAUGCUACUUAAAGGGACUGUUAUUGUUGGACCUUAAAAAAGUUCAACAAAAUUAUUGGUGUUAAACCAAAGGAAGUUUGAGGCAAUAACAGGUCUGUGAUGCCCUUAGAUAUCCUAGGCUGCACGCGCGCGACACUGAAAGCUUCAAAAAGUACUUGGAUAGAUGGUGAGUUUUAGGGGGUAAAACUUCUAGAGCUUCCUCUUUCUUUGAUCCUUAUCGGAAACGAUUGGGUAAUCUUUUAGAAACGCUUUCGUGCUGGGAAUUGAUCAUUGCAAUUAUUGGUCAUGAACGAGGAAUUUCUUGUAAUCGUAAAUCAUCAGUUUACGAUGACUAAGUCCCUGACUUUUGUACACACCGCCCGUCGCUCCUACAGAGAUGGUUUUUCGGUGAAAUUUACGGAUACGAAUACUGUUUUCUAGGGCAACUUAGAGAGCAACAAUUUUUUCGUAGAAGUUGAUUAAACCUAACAACUUUGAUGAAGGAGAAGUCGUAACAAG